rnacentral:lncRNA from 1 species
ACCCUACCUGUUUCCCAGAAAAUGACAUUGCUUAACAAUAAAGUCAUAUAUUAAUGAAUCCUUUGCAUUUUAGAUUUUAACAUGAACAUCAGUAAGGAGGAAAAGAAUCCUUUUGAAAAACUUUGGUGUCUGCAAGGCAGUCCUAAAGAAAGCCAGAAAGCCAAGUGACUUAUACAAAGACGAGAUCUACCUGAACUCACAACCCUAAAAAAAAUGGGUCUACAUGCACCUGCUAUCACUCAAGAACCAUGGUCUCUGUCACUCAGGCUGGAUGCAGCAGCACAAUCAUAGAUCACUGCACUAUCAACUUACUGGGCUCAAGUGAUCCUUUCACCUCAGCCUCCCAGGUAGCCAGGAUUACAGCUGUUUCAGUCCUGCCACUUGGUGGAUCCCAAGUUCUUGUCCUGCACCCAGGAAGAAUGAGGUAUGUGGAUUACUGGAAGGUUAGCAAGGUUGAGAGGAGCUUCACCAAGCAACAUAACAGCCCUGAGAAGAUCUGCAGUGGCAUGCUCCUUUCUGGAGGUGGGUUGUCCCAGAGAGGUAAGGAGACCUGAAGUGGGUAGCUCCUUGUUUCCUGGCAGCUGGUAGUCCUGACAUCUAUGUAAGUCUGGCUGAGUAUGGGGUUUUUAUGGGCUCAUAAGGGAGGAAGUGCAUGCUGAUUGGUCCAUGGGCAGCCAUGGGUAAGGGCCUGGAAAAAGUACUGUAAUAAGUUCUCAUUCUGGAUAGUGAACUCCACCUGGAAGUUGCAGCCUGGUCCCCAGGCUUCAGGCUGUCCCUGGUUUGAAGGUGGGGUUUUACCAGGGACCUGCCCCUUUCUGCCCAGGCACCUAUCUGCCUCCACCUUCAACAUGCUGUCCACACAGCCCAGGUUGCUGGUACCAAGGGGUGCCUGUAGGCCUGUGCUGAGCCACCCUCAGCCACCCCAGGCCUCCCUCCCACACUUGUCAGCACCCGAAGUCCAGAGGGGGUGCCCCGAGGAGUCAGGGGGCUGGCAAGUCAGGGUCACCCCAAGCAGGCACACAUCCAGGGGUCACAACAGUGCCCAGACUCAGCCAUAAUUUGCUUUGCACUAGAGUGGGUGCCAGGAUUCAAGAGAGGCCAGACAGCAGGAGCAGGCACUUCAGAGCUUUCAAGGGCAGGAGGCUCCCAUCCCCCUGAGAGUGCAGGGAUGCCUGGGUCUGGAGCCACAGCUGGGUAGCUGCAGCUGCUCCCAGUAAGGGGUAGGGCUCCUGCCUGUUCCUGUCUCCCACAGGCCCCAUGGAGCGUGCAACUCUCACCACACCUGUCCUGAUGUAGCCAGUGUCUUCACAGUGGCCACUCCAGAGGGGCCACAGCUGCCAUCAUUAUCUUUGAGAAAUAAUCUAGGAAAAGGAGAUUUGAAGCCAACCCAGCCAUGGUUAUGAAAGAAGAACUAUUAUUCAUUAAUUGGGAUUCCAUUUUUGUGAUAGUAAUUUGUGGGCUUGUUAUUAGAAAUUUAUAGAUAGAAUCUGGAUCCCAACUGCAAAAUGUGAGAUGGGCAAAAUUUAACUAUACAGUUUUGGUUUAUGCAAAAUACUGUAAUUUAUUCUAAGACGUAUGGAGAGAAUAAGUACUUGAGGUGAUGGAUACCCCAUUUACUCUAAUGUGAUUAUUGUACGUUGCACACCCAUAUCAAAGUCUCUCAUGUAACCCAUAAUAUAUGCACCUACUAUGUACCCACAAAAAUAAAAAAUUUAAAAAAAAAGAUUAAUAUGUUUACCCAAAGCAAAGAAGAAAAAUAAAAGAGGGAGUUUGUAGAGUUUGUAAUACAAACAAUUCUGUUUAAGUGUAUUAAUUUUCCCCUACUCAAAACACCAGUCCCGUUUUGAUUUUUACCAAUAGUACAUAAUGUCUGGAUUAAGCCAAAGGCUUAACAUGAAAUCUAGAUAAUUGCUUCUGGCUUUCAUGUCUUUUGCAAUAGAAAAAAAAAUAAUGUCUUAUUUAGCAAUGGGACAUGUGUAAGUAUACACAUUCAGGUUACAAAUGUCUGAUGGUUGCAGAAAUUCGACUGUAAGGAUUAUAUUGACUCAAAAUGUAUGUUUAGUUUAUUAUGGAAUAAAAAUAGAGGUUAUAUAGACACAGAAUUUACAUUUGGCACUUCUUGACAAAAUAUUACAUACAAGAAAGUAAUAGUAAAUAACAUUUUGUACUUAAGAAAGAAAAAUUCCUGUGUUAAUGGAAUAUAUUGCUCAAUUACUAUUUUAUCUUUCAUGGAUAGUAAUUAGCUUGGG